UCUGGCCUGUCGAGGGUAAGUCCCCAC
rnacentral:piRNA from 1 species